AUGCGUUUUGUGCGGCACAUCCAGGAGUCUGAGGUGAAGGAGGCUUUAAAAAGGAUGAAAGGAGGCAAGGCGAUGGGCCCUGAUUGUAUCCCCAUUGAGGUGUGGAAAGGUCUCGGGGACAUAGCGAUAGUAUGGCUAACCAAGCUUUUCAACCUCAUUUUUCGGGCAAACAAGAUGCCAGAAGAAUGGAGACGGAGUAUAUUAGUACCAAUAUUCAAGAACAAGGGGGAUGUUCAGAGUUGUACUAAUUACCGUGGAAUUAAGCUGAUGAGCCAUACAAUGAAGCUAUGGGAGAGAGUCAUUGAGCACCGCUUAAGAAGAAUGACAAGCGUGACCAAAAAUCAGUUUGGUUUCAUGCCUGGGAGGUCGACCAUGGAAGCCAUUUUCUUGGUACGACAACUUAUGGAGAGAUAUAGGGAGCAUAAGAAGGACUUGCAUAUGGUGUUCAUUGACUUGGAGAAGGCCUAUGAUAAGAUACCGCGGAAUGUCAUGUGGUGGGCCUUGGAGAAAUACAAAGUCCCAGCAAAGUACAUUACCCUCAUCAAGGACAUGUACAAUAAUGUUGUGACAAGUGUUCGAACAAGUGAUGUCGACACCGAUGACUUCCCGAUUAAGAUAGGACUGCAUCAGGGGUCGGCUUUGAGCCCUUAUCUUUUUGCAUUGGUGAUGGAUGAGGUCACAAGGGGUAUACAAGGAGAUAUCCCAUGGUGUAUGCUCUUUGCGGAUGAUGUGGUGCUAGUUGACGAUAGUCGGACGGGGGUAAAUAGGAAGUUAGAGUUAUGGAGACAAACCUUGGAAUCGAAAGGGUUUAGGCUUAGUAGAACUAAAACCGAGUACAUGAUGUGCGGUUUCAGUACUACUAGCUGUGAGGAGGAGGAGGUUAGCCUUGAUGGCCAGGUGGUACCUCGGAAGGACACCUUUCGGUAUUUGGGGUCAAUGUUGCAGGAGGAUGGGGGUAUUGAUGAAGAUGUGAACCAUCGAAUCAAAGCCGGAUGGAUGAAGUGGCGCCAAGCUUCUGGCAUUCUCUGUGACAAGAGAGUGCCACAAAAGCUAAAAGGCAAGUUCUACAGGACGGCGGUUCGACCCGCAAUGUUGUAUGGCGCGGAGUGUUGGCCGACUAAAAGGCGACAUGUUCAAUAG
rnacentral:rRNA from 1 species